rnacentral:lncRNA from 10 species
UGCCUGGAGUGAAGAUUCUGCCCAUUGGUCAAGAGACCUCCCUCUCAGAUGCUGGCUCUGCCCCUGCCUUUGGGGGUCGACCCUUGUACUCGCAGGACCUUAGGUGACUCUGUAAGUAUAGUAAAACGCAGUUAAUAUGAUGUUAUCAUUCAAUCAUUUUUAAAAAGUGGAGCAACCAGUUGACAAGGUAAGACUUUUUCCUGACAUCUGUGGUUGUUUAUUUAAAAGAACAGACAAUAUUUAAAAUGAAAGACAAACUCAGAGGUUGCAGUGAGCCGAGAUCGCACCACUGCACUCCAGCCAAGGUGACAGAGCAAGACCUCUUCUCAAAAAAGAAAAAGCACCCACAAUUCCAACUGAAAGUUAACUACAUUCUAUAUUUUGUCAUAAUUUGUUUUCCAUCACUUUUUGUAUUUACAUUUAUUUUACAUAUUUAAAUAAAUCCGUAUGUAUAGUUUUGUAUCCCACUUUUUUUGUUUUUUACUUAACAUUGUAACCGUUUUACUAUGUCACUAAAAACUAAAAAUUUUUGAUAGCUGUAUCAUAUUCUACUGUAUGGAUAUACUGUAAUUUACUUAACCAUUCUGUAAUGUUGCAUAAACUAUUUGUUUACAAUAUUUUUCUAUUAAAAAACAACUGACAUUAA